UGCAGUCGAACGCACUCUCGUUUAGAUUGAAGGAGCUUGCUCCUGAUUGAUAAACAUUUGAGUGAGUGGCGGACGGGUGAGUAACACGUGGGUAACCUGCCCUAAAGUGGGGGAUAACAUUUGGAAACAGAUGCUAAUACCGCAUAAAACCUAACACCGCAUGGUGUAGGGUUGAAAGAUGGUUUCGGCUAUCACUUUAGGAUGGACCCGCGGUGCAUUAGUUAGUUGGUGAGGUAAAGGCUCACCAAGACCGUGAUGCAUAGCCGGCCUGAGAGGGUAAUCGGCCACACUGGGACUGAGACACGGCCCAGACUCCUACGGGAGGCAGCAGUAGGGAAUCUUCCACAAUGGACGAAAGUCUGAUGGAGCAACGCCGCGUGAGUGAAGAAGGUUUUCGGAUCGUAAAACUCUGUUGUUGGAGAAGAAUGUAUCUGAUAGUAACUGAUCAGGUAGUGACGGUAUCCAACCAGAAAGCCACGGCUAACUACGUGCCAGCAGCCGCGGUAAUACGUAGGUGGCAAGCGUUGUCCGGAUUUAUUGGGCGUAAAGCGAGCGCAGGCGGUUUCUUAAGUCUGAUGUGAAAGCCUUCGGCUCAACCGAAGAAGUGCAUCGGAAACUGGGAAACUUGAGUGCAGAAGAGGACAGUGGAACUCCAUGUGUAGCGGUGAAAUGCGUAGAUAUAUGGAAGAACACCAGUGGCGAAGGCGGCUGUCUGGUCUGUAACUGACGCUGAGGCUCGAAAGCAUGGGUAGCAAACAGGAUUAGAUACCCUGGUAGUCCAUGCCGUAACGAUGAGUGCUAGGUGUUGGAGGGUUUCCGCCCUUCAGUGCCGCAGCUAACGCAUUAAGCACCCCGCCUGGGGAGUACGACCGCAAGGUUGAAACUCAAGGAAUUGACGGGGCCCGCACAAGCGGUGGAGCAUGUGUUUAUUCGAAGCACGCGAA
rnacentral:rRNA from 1 species